CGGGGUAUGGCGCAGUCUGGUAGCGCAUCUGCUUUGGGAGCAGAGGGUCGUAGGUUCGAAUCCUGCUACCCCGACCA
rnacentral:tRNA from 1 species